rnacentral:rRNA from 1 species
GACGAACGCUGGCGGCGUGCCUAAUACAUGCAAGUUGAGCGAUGAAGCUUGGUGCUUGCACCAAUUUGAAGAGCAGCGAACGGGUGAGUAACGCGUGGGGAAUCUGCCUUUGAGCGGGGGACAACAUUUGGAAACGAAUGCUAAUACCGCAUAACAACUUUAAACAUAAGUUUUAAGUUUGAAAGAUGCAAUUGCAUCACUCAAAGAUGAUCCCGCGUUGUAUUAGCUAGUUGGUGAGGUAAAGGCUCACCAAGGCGAUGAUACAUAGCCGACCUGAGAGGGUGAUCGGCCACAUUGGGACUGGGACCCGGCCCAAAAUACUACGGGAGGGAGCAGUAGGGAAUCUUCGGCAAAGGACGAAAGUCUGACCGAGCAAAGCCGCGUGAGUGAAGAAGGUUUUCGGAUCGUAAAACUCUGUUGGUAGAGAAGAACGUUGGUGAGAGUGGAAAGCUCAUCAAGUGACGGUAACUACCCAGAAAGGGACGGCUAACUACGUG